rnacentral:rRNA from 1 species
UACAGAGGGGGCAAGCGUUGUUCGGAAUUACUGGGCGUAAAGGGCUCGUAGGCGGUUCGUCACGUCGGGAGUGAAAACUCGGAGCUUAACUCCGAGCCUGCUUCCGAUACGGGCAGACUAGAGGUAGGCAGGGGAGAGCGGAACUCCUGGUGUAGCGGUGGAAUGCGCAGAUAUCAGGAGGAACACCGAUGGCGAAGGCAGGUCUCUGGGCCGAUACUGACGCUGAGGAGCGAAAGCGUGGGGAGCGAACAGG